rnacentral:rRNA from 1 species
GAACGAGAAAGUGGAGCAAUCCAUGAGUAAAGUGGCGUACGGGUGAGUAACACGUGGAUCAUCUGCCCUUUAGUGGGGAAUACCGCUGGGAAACCGGCGACAAUACCGCAUAAGCUCGAGAGAGGAAAGCAGCAAUGCGCUGAAGGAGGAGUCCGCGGUCGAUUAGCUAGUUGGUAGGGUAAUGGCCUACCAAGGCUGUGAUCGAUAGCCGGCCUGAGAGGGCACACGGCCACACUGGCACUGAAACACGGGCCAGACUCCUACGGGAGGCAGCAGUGGGGAAUCUUGCACAAUGGGGGAAACCCUGAUGCAGCGACGCCGCGUGAGCGAUGAAGCCCUUCGGGGUGUAAAGCUCUUUCGGCAGGGAAGAUUAUGACGGUACCUGCAGAAGCAGCUGCGGCUAACUACGUGCCAGCAGCCGCGGUAAUACGUAGGCAGCAAGCGUUGUUCGGAGUUACUGGGCGUAAAGGGUGCGUAGGCGGCUCGAUAAGUAUGGUGUGAAAUCUCCCGGCUUAACUGGGAGGGUGCGCUAUAGACUGCCGGGCUGGAGUGUGGGAGAGGAAAGUGGAAUUCCUGGUGUAGCGGUGAAAUGCGUAGAUAUCAGGAGGAACACCGGUGGUGUAAACGGCUUUCUGGACCGUAACUGACGCUGAGACACGAAAGCGUGGGUA